UUGAACUGAAGAGUUUGAUCCUGGCUCAGAUUGAACGCUGGCGGCAUGCCUUACACAUGCAAGUCGAACGGCAGCACGGGUGCUUGCACCUGGUGGCGAGUGGCGAACGGGUGAGUAAUA
rnacentral:rRNA from 1 species